AGCCCAGGAGGUAGAUCACACCAAAAUGCAAAUUUGGAGACGUACCACAUACGGUGCCGGGGCUUC
rnacentral:tRNA from 1 species